rfam:Felis catus isolate Cinnamon breed Abyssinian chromosome B2, whole genome shotgun sequence.
UUUCAGGCUCUUUUAAGAGCCGCCCAUAUUCUCAUUUAAAGAGCUG